rnacentral:rRNA from 1 species
GGGUGCAGCAGGCGCGAAAACUUUGCAAUGCGGGAAACCGUGACAAGGGAACUCUGAGUGCCCGUAAAAUCGGGCUGUCCAUCGGUUUAAAUAACCGGUGAAGAAAGGGCCGGGCAAGACCGGUGCCAGCCGCCGCGGUAAUACCGGCGGCUCGAGUGGUGGCCACUAUUACUGGGCUUAAAGCGUUCGUAGCUGGUCUGUUAAGUCUCUGGGGAAAUCUUCCGGCUUAACCGGAAGGCGUCUCAGGGAUACUGGCAGACUAGGGACCGGGAGAGGUGAGAGGUACUCCAGGGGUAGGAGUGAAAUCCUGUAAUCCUUGGGGGACCACCUGUGGCGAAGGCGUCUCACCAGAACGGCUCCGACAGUGAGGGACGAAAGCUGGGGGAGCAAACCGGAUUAGAUACCCGGGUAGUCCCAGCUGUAAACGAUGCGCGUUAGGUGUAUCGGUGACCACGAGUCACCGAGGUGCCGAAGAGAAAUCGUGAAACGUGCCGCCUGGGAAGUACGGUCGCAAGGCUGAAACUUAAAGGAAUUGGCGGGGGAGCAC